rnacentral:rRNA from 1 species
CCUACGGGCUGCACCAGUGGGGAAUAUUGCACAAUGGGCGCAAGCCUGAUGCAGCCAUGCCGCGUGUAUGAAGAAGGCCUUCGGGUUGUAAAGUACUUUCAGUCGGGAGGAAGGUGGUGAGCUUAAUACGCUCAUCAAUUGACGUUACCGACAGAAGAAGCACCGGCUAACUCCGUGCCAGCAACCGCGGUAAUACGGAGGGUGCAAGCGUUAAUCGGAAUUACUGGGCGUAAAGCGCACGCAGGCGGUUGAUUAAGUUAGAUGUGAAAUCCCCGGGCUUAACCUGGGAAUGGCAUCUAAGACUGGUCAGCUAGAGUCUUGUAGAGGGGGGUAGAAUUCCAUGUGUAGCGGUGAAAUGCGUAGAGCUGUGGAGGAAUACCGGUGGCGAAGGCAGCCCCCUGGACAAAGACUGACGCUCAGGUGCGAAAGCGUGGGGAGCAAACAGGAUUAGAUACCCCGGUAGUC